UCCUCCUUAGCUCAGUUGGUUAGAGCAUCUGACUGUUAAUCAGAGGGUCGUUGGUUCGAGUCCAACAGGAGGAGCGA
rnacentral:tRNA from 1 species